rnacentral:rRNA from 1 species
UUGGAGGGCAAGUCUGGUGCCAGCAGCCGCGGUAAUUCCAGCUCCAAUAGCGUAUAUUAAAGUUGUUGCAGUUAAAAAGCUCGUAGUUGAAUUUCGGGGUUAGUAGGUUGGUCAUGCCUCUGGUAUGUACUGGUCUCACUGAUUCCUCCUUCCUGAUGAGCCGUAAUGCCAUUAAUUUGGUGUUGCGGGGAAUUUGGACUGUUACUUUGAAAAAAUUAGAGUGUUUAAAGCAGGCUAACGCUUGAAUACAUUAGCAUGGAAUAAUGAAAUAGGACGUUCGAUCCUAUUUUGUUGGUUUCUAGGAUUGACGUAAUGAUUAAUAGGGAUAGUUGGGGGCAUUAGUAUUCAAUUGUCAGAGGUGAAAUUCUUGGAUUUAUUGAAGACUAACUACUGCGAAAGCAUUUGCCAAGGAUGUUUUCAUUAAUCAAGAACGAAAGUUAGGGGAUCGAAGACGAUCAGAUACCGUCGUAGUCUUAACCAUAAACUAUGCCGACUAGGGAUCGGAUGAUGUUAUUUUUAAUGACUCAUUCGGCGCCUUACGGGAAAC